AAACACUACUUCUACAGUUCUAUCUAAGCAUCUUGCACUUUUCCCCUCAACUGCAGUCUCUUUGAAAACUUACAAAAGAAGAUGGCAAAUGCUCGUAUUGCUAGGUUUGUUACAGAGGUAGCACCACCACAAUUUGUAAAUGUCAUGAGAAACCGAGCCUCAAAGAUGCUAGAAACCAUCAAAGAGGAGGAGAGAGAAGCUAGCACAAGCGAGUCACUUUCUCUGAAGAAUUAUUCCACUUCAUCAUCUUCAGCUUAUUCUGCUUCAUCAUCAAAUGCAAAAAGUUCUAAAUAUUUUCUCAAAGAAGUUCAGAGGUCGUUUUCUGCAUUUGGCAGCUAAAGUAUAUACUCUAGCUUGCUAAGAAUGCUUUAAAUUUUUGACCAGUGUAUUGAUUCCUUUUCUUUUCCUUCAGCAAAUUCUCUCUCAGUAAG
rnacentral:misc_RNA from 1 species